UACGGAGGGGGCUAGCGUUGUUCGGAAUUAUUGGGCGUAAAGGGCGCGUAGGCGGCCGAAUAAGUCUGACGUGAAAUCCCUCGGCUCAACCGGGGAACUGCGUUUGAAACUGUUCGGCUCGAGUCCGGGAGAGGGUAGUGGAAUUCCCAGUGUAGCGGUGAAAUGCGUAGAUAUUGGGAGGAACACCGGUGGCGAAGGCGGCUACCUGGACCGGUACUGACGCUGAGGCGCGAAAGCUAGGGUAGCAAACAGG
rnacentral:rRNA from 1 species